rnacentral:lncRNA from 1 species
UUAGCCUUCAAAGUCAGUUUUUUAGAACAUCAAUAUUAUAUUUUACCUGUUUAAUAAGCUAUUUUUGUUUGACUUUUCGCAUUUUCUGUAAGUCCAGAAAUUUUUGUAGUAUAAAAAUAAGAAGAUGUGGUAUAAUUGCCAACGAGACAACUCUCCACAUGACACCAAAUGACACAGAAAUUAACAACUGCUAGUAUAUGUCACCGUACGGUCGAAUGUUUACAAACACUUUUUUGUACGCUUUUUGACGCAAUUCUAUAAAAAAAAAA